UAGGGAAUCUUCGGCAAUGGGGGCGAACCCUGACCGAGCAACGCCGCGUGAGUGAAGAAGGUUUUCGGAUCGUAAAGCUCUGUUGUAAGAGAAGAACGUGUGCGAGAGUGGAAAGUUCACACAGUGACGGUAACUUACCAGAAAGGGACGGCUAACUACGUGCCAG
rnacentral:rRNA from 1 species